rnacentral:rRNA from 1 species
GACGAACCGUCCUAACGUUGUUCGGAAUCACUGGGCUUAAAGGGCGCGUAGGCGGGUCGCCAAGUCUGGGGUGAAAUCUUUCGGCUUAACCGGAAAAUAGCCCUGGAUACUGGCGAUCUAGAGGGUGGUAGGGGCAUGUGGAACUUCCGGUGGAGCGGUGAAAUGCGUUGAUAUCGGAAGGAACGCCGGUGGCGAAAGCGACGUGCUGGACCACUACUGACGCUGAGGAACGAAAGCUAGGGGAGCAAACAGG